CCGGCAAACGGGUGCGGAACACGUACACAACUUUCCUUCAAAUGGGGAAUAGCCCAGGGAAACUUGGAUUAAUACCCCGUAACAUUAUGAAGUGGCAUCACUUUAUAAUUAUAGCUCCGGCGUUUGGAGAUGGGUGUGCGGCUGAUUAGGUAGUUGGCGGGGUAACGGCCCACCAAGCCUUCGAUCAGUAACUGGUGUGAGAGCACGACCAGUCACACGGGCACUGAGACACGGGCCCG
rnacentral:rRNA from 1 species